AAUCGCGAUGGUUUAGAUUCGCGUGACUCGCGAGCCGACGUUUAACGCCUCCGAGCUGCAACCACACCGGCUGCCAGCUGAUUGCCAGUGGCAAAUGAAUGGUCGUGUACCAUUAGUGAAUGACACGUGUGUAAUUUUGCCAUUGUGACAUGGAAUUAUAAUUACGAUAGAGUGUUUGAUAUUUUUCACGCGAUUAAUCAAAUUGCAACUUAUUCAAAGAUCGUUCAAUUAACGUUUUUUAACGUAAUAUCAUCGGUGAAUGACAGUUCUGCUUCCUGUUACUAUUCGAAGAUAAUUCAAGAAAAAUUGAAGUUUCAACUGUUGGUAUAAUAAGAAGUGUUUGAUAAAUUCAAUGGGACGGUAACGAGCCAGCUUAUCUCAAAAAGGGAUGUUGAAGCGCAAACGGGUGAUAACUUGUAAGGUACUUCUCAUAAAGCAAGCAAAUAGACCUUCUACUCCAUAAAAUUCACACCCAAAAGCUUUUAUUACGCUCACUGCUUUUGCGGACGCUAGAAGUUGAGGGACCGAGGAAAAUUACUGUUAGAAGGACAGCAAAGUAACCUGGCUUAGAGAAGUUAGGAGAAACAGGAACGAAAAAGGAGAGAAGAUAGCGAUGGAGAAUCCGCAAACACUUUAUGCAGCAGGUCAGCCCUUUGGGCUUUCACGUACGGCCAACAAUCCUCCAUAGCCGAUUGAUUAUUUAAGUUCCUUCUCGCCUUAUAGAUACACGGUGCAGAGCUUCUCAAAAUCCAUCUUUCUCUUUUCCUUACUCUUCUUUCUUUACCUUGUCGAAUAAACCCUUGAGUAAUCAACGACGCGGAAAGAUUAUUAUUGAAGAUUGAAUCACUGAUUGAAUUGAAUUUUAAACGUGGAAGUAUUUCAUAAAUGUAGUUUCAAUUUGUUUUAAUUUCAAUAUCAAAAUUCGUAACGCGAUUCAACCACAAUACAUAGAAAACUUAUUUGAGAAACUCUGGCCCAAGAUUCUUUCUUCCCUUCUUUUUCUCAACUCCCUCUUGACUCGUAAUCUUAUCUUUUCACUGCCAACUUUUCGUAUAUUUGUAAAUUCAUCUCUGCACCUCCCUAAAAAUUGGAGGUUGAGAAGUGAUCGGAUCAUCGAAUACUGCACGUUAUAAUUGUUACACGAAAUCAAAAUAAGAAAGAGAACGAUUUUCAUAAUCAGAAUUUUCAUAAUCAAAUAUACGAUCAUUAUCACAGUAAUUCAUUAAUGGAAAGAAUAAACAAAAAAAAACUUUCAAGAAAUAUAUCGUUCAAAAUUAAACACAGAUUCACUCUUACAAAAUUCAAUUACUAUCUCGUUUCAAAAAUCCCAAUUGAUAGCGAUGGUUAAACUCUGUCCAAAACUAGCAACCGAAGCAUCUCGGUGACCCAGUUCGAUCGAACAAGGGGGAAAAAUCAUCACAACUUUUCCAUUUUCGUUUCCUUCAAUCUCUCAUCUCCCCGAUCUGGUUGCUCGACCGAUGUUGCGGUCGCUGAAACGAUUAACUACGCAAACGGAGUUGGUCGAUCCCAUUGUUCGGCCAACGACAAAUCCGAAUGAUCCCUCGAUGUGGCAUCUCGAUUCGUGGUCUCGAUUAUAUACAGGGAUCGCACACCUUCCAGAUCGGGUGGAUAGAUUCGCCGCAUAUUGGUCUGUUCGCGAGCAACGAGAAUCGGUGGCAAGGAGGCCAGGAGGGGGAUGAUAUUGGGAUGCACGGUGCCGCAAAGGAUGAAAGACAGGCAGAUGGAGGAAGAGGGGCGGGAUGGAUGGGGAAGGGAGGCGACGUUGGACGACGCAUACAUCCGCCUCAAAUUGAUUGGAAUUGUUCCCCUGGCUGAUAUCUCGUACCUGCUAGUAGUCGUGGCAGCUUCAGAUAGACGUAGGCUGCACCUUGCACCAGACGAGAGGGACAACUUCCGGUUGGAUUGCGUUGAGUUAGGUUAGCCUAACCUAAGCUAGCACCCGUCAGGCUAGCUCCGUGUUUGCGAAUAGACAAAGAGGUUGACAAAGGGAGAGGUGCAUAGGGGGAGGAAAGGAAUUGGGAGAAGAGCUACGACGACGUAGGAGCUUCUUCCAUGGAAUUAAUUUCGAAGCUUCCAGAAGGAACGCCAUUUACCUCUGCUCAUUCAAUGUAUAUAUAUAUGUGUGUGUGUAGUUUAAAGUUUAUGCUGUGCGCAUAUAAAGUAUUAAGGUCAAUUUAUCCUAUAAUGGAUCGACGAGAGAGUUUUAUCAUUAUAAUAAUGAUACGUGUAUAUAAAAGUAAUUUGAGAUUUUACACGAAAUUCGAAAAAUUUCGAAACGAAUGGGUCCCGAUUUCAUUCGAUCAUUGCCGAUUCUUAUUCGCCAAAAUUUUUCUGGCUUGGUUUUUAAUAUUUUUUUCAUAAUUUUCACAAUUAAAUAUAUAAGUACACACAACAGCCACGAGUUGAUAUUAACUCGAUCCCGUCCUAGGCCUGAAUCAAUUUGUGCUUAAUCCUUAUUGGAGAUCAAAUUUAUCUUUAGCUUAACGCACUGAUUAAUCGAAAAAAAAGUUUCCAAAUGUUUGCCGAAAUAACGUUCGUUUCAGACCUCAGGAUUCAUCCGGGAAGGAGUUUAGCCUCGUUGUCGCGUCUUACGUAUUCCGGCCACGUAGACCGGAUUUAACGCGGACGUUCACGGAUAUCGUUAUGAAAAAGAUAGACGGCCGGCACGGAUAACUUAGAUCUCCCGGAUCUUCGAAGCAGUCGCUUCGUCAGGGGAAAGAUGAUGUGAAUUAUAAUGCAAUAAGGAAGGAAAAUGAAAUAUUCAUGCGGCAAGCGAGUGCUAAAUUGCAGCAAUUAAUUCCCAUACAUAGGAUGAAUUAUGAAAGAAUUUAAAAAUCAACGAGGACAGAUGUCACGAAGGUAACGAACUUAUGGCUCAAUUUAAAUUUUAUCCAAAAAUUCAAAAAUCAAAGACUCAAGGCAAUCAAUCUUUAUAGAAUAAAUUCAAGAAAUAUUGACCUUUAAGUGUGUUAGAAUAUUUUUUAAAUUUUUGCUUAAUAUUACAAUCGAUAAUUCUAUUCAAUAUGUAUUUAUAAGUAGAAGCUUAUUUAAAUCAUACUUAUAUUAAUAUUUAUUUUAUUUCUUUUUUAUUUAAAUGUGCAAUUUCAUUUAUAUGAUAUGUAAAAAUAUAUUUUAUUAAAUUAGAAUAGAUCGUUUGAUUAAAUUUUUCUAUAUAAUAUGUAAACUUGAAACAUUUCCAACGAUUUCUAAUUCAAAAUUUUAUUCAAAUAUUUUAUUCAAAUAUUUAUAAUCAUUAAAUAAUACUAUUAAUUUUAAACCGAUUUAUUUAUGUAAUUCUUGGAAGUGAGAUAAUUGGAUCAAAUGAUUUAUUGAAUCAUUAUAUUUGAAUGAGAAACGUAUGGAAAUCAAUAAAUGAUAAUAAAAUGAUAAAAAAGACAAUAAAGAUAGCAAAAGAUCUUGGAAUGAAAAUGAAUGUGAGAAAAUGUAGAGAAGAUUAUAACAGAACGAAAGAAAUGGACGAUUAUUACUUAGAUAAAUAUUGUUAUUGAUUAUUGUUAUUGAACCGUUAAUGAUUCCAUAAAAUACAUAAAAACUAUAUUUAAAGUAUGCAAAUAGAAAGAAUAUAGAAAGAAAAAUUUAAAUUAUAAGACAAAACAUGAUAUUAUCUUCAAGAAGAGUGAUCCAUCUCUUCCAGAAUUACUCUAUCAAUCAUUCGAUCGAAACCUUCAACCUCCUCUCUUUCAACUCUGACAAAAAUCCUGAAAAAUCGCAAUGGCCAUCCGUAUCCCAUUCAGAGCAAUAACAAUCACAAAACGAAGAAUUGGACGAUGUUUGAAUCGCGAGGGUUGACGACGAUAUACAAUUCGCGCGGCUUGUACAUCGGCUGGCUGUAAUAAACCAUUAUUUAUGACCGGUCGCUUCGGCCGCAACUAUAAAAACUUCCGCAUAAAGUUGUAGUUUACAGUCUGCUAAAUGUACCGCCAUGAAACACCGCUACGCCGCCUAACGUUUUAUGAGGCGCAGCGGCUAUGCAACCCGCGAAACAACAUGGCCGAGAUUAGAAGAAGGAUUGCCAACUACGAGGCGCCGUGUUCCGACUGUGACACACUCGAUACGACGGUAUAGUUUUCGAUGAUAUUUUACGACUUGCCGCGAUACACGAAAAAAGUAGGAUUCGAUGGAAACUCUGACGGGCAAUUCAUAUUGGUGAUCGAAUAUUGAAAUCAGUGAAUAUGAAAUAGAUCCUAUUAUUAAAUUUUUUAUCACAGAGAUUUUUAGAGAAAGAACAUUCGAAUCUUUUUUCUAAGUAUAUUUGUGCGAUAAUCUUCUUAUUGUUAUUGAUUCGAGAUCGAAUAUUGAAGAUGCGGAGUUUACGAGGAAAAGUAAGGAAUUUUUUUCGAUUUAAUUGCUUUCAUUUGCAAUUAAGCGUCAUAAGUAAUACACUAUCGUUUGAAAAUUAUAAAAAAAUACUUUUUAUUCUUAUUGAAACUUUGAUAAUAUUUGAUAAAGAUUGAAUUGAAUUUUUUCCAUUUAUAGCUUUUUCGAUUUAUAUUUUGUACAUUCUUUAUAGUAAAAGUGUCAAAUCACACGAAUUUCUUUUAUAUUUUUAAUUUUUGCCAAUUUUAAAACGAGUAUAACGUAAACUGUAAUAUAAUAUAAUAUAAUAUAAUCUAUGAUGAUAAAUUAAUUCGUCUUAAUCGAAAUUCCUUGAUACGCUCGACGUUAGAACGGUUCUAUUAUAUCUACGUUCCCUCAUUAACAAACAUACUUCAUAUCCCUCGCAUUUCACCCACAUCGUGGAACAUCGAAAUGCUUUCAAAUCACUAACGCUGCGUCAUCGUGAAUCGAACAUUGCUAAUGUGCAGUCGAGGGUAUAUAAUGCAGGCAAUAAUUACUGCAGGGGAAUAAAGUUUGAAGAAUCCCCUAAGGAAACCAACGUCACGUUAAAUUAGAGAGUUCAGCGCUUAAAAAAAGUGGAUUUACUUUUAAUUACAGCCUCUUUGAUUGUAAAUUUUUUACUUAAACACUUUUUCAUCAAAAGAAAACUAAAUAAUAUUACAUAGCUCGAAAGAUAUUAAGUUAAUAAUUAAUUAAAAAUUAUAAUUAAAAAUUAUUCCUCUUUGAAGUGAGAAUAAAAAUAUCGAAAAAAAAUCUCGAAUAAUGAAAGUAUCCAUCUCUUAUCCUUAUAAUAAAAUAUUAACACAAUUAUUUCCCAUUCGUUAAAAACAAUAUAUCGAGCGAACGAUAGAAUUUAAAAAAAAGAAAUAUCGUUAACGCAUUGUACUU